GUAUGAAAAUAAGUAUAAAUACUUAUUUAAUAAAAGCUCACAAAAUACCACUAAUAAAAGGCCGGUUAGAAUAAUGUAUUUCCCACAAAUCACUGCCUCUGUUUGUAUCUCUGUCACUGCAGGACCAACGUGGAUCGAGAAGUCAGCGCUCUCAGGAGGCCGACAAUUUUGUUGAAGAAAGAAGUGGAAGAAAAAAAUACAACAGUGACGAGUUUGGGAAAGAUUUUACUGUGAAAGCUUCCAAAAAAAUGCAUCAGGUCAUCCACACCGGAGAGAGACCAUUCAGCUGUGGAGACUGUGGAAAGUCUUUUACGCAGUCUGGAAACUUAAAAGCACACCAACUCAUCCACAGUGGAGAGAGACCGUUCAGGUGUGACGAGUGUGGAAAGUCUUUUGCCACGUCUGGAAACUUAAAAUCACACCAACUCCUCCACACUGGAGUUAAAGCGUACACCUGUGAUCAGUGUGGCAGAGCUUUUACUCACAGUUACAGCUUACAGAGUCAUCUAGUUACCCACUCUGGAAUUAAGGCAUACAGCUGUGACAUUUGUGGAAAAACUUUCAGCCUGAUAGGGAGCCGAAACAUUCACCUACGCAUUCACACCAGACAUGAUGUGUACAGCUGUGAUCAGUGUGGUAAACAGUUUACUACAAACACAGAGUUACGACGUCACAUGUUUACCCACACUGAGGAACGACCUUAUAAAUGUGGCCUGUGUGAGAAGACUUUUAAAUCUCCACGUUACCUGAAAGCACACCAACAGAUCCACACCAGAAAGACUCUACAAGUGCAGUUACUGUGAGAAGCAGAGCGACACAGAUGGAUCAAGUUCUCAACCCUGUCAUCGCUGUGGGAAAGACUUUUGUUGUGACCUUUGUGGAAAAACUUUAAGUCAUUGAAGGACUCUGAAAAUACAUCAACGUAGACACACUGGAGA